rnacentral:lncRNA from 1 species
UUGGCAUUUUUUUCUAGUUCUAUAAAGAAUGAUGAUGGUAUAUUGAUAGGAAUUGCAUUGAAUUUGUAGACUGCUUUUGGCAGUAUGGUCAUUUUCACAAUAUUGAGUCUAUGCAUCCAUGAGCAUGGAAUGCGUUUCCAUUUGUUUAUGUCAUCUAUGAUUUCUUUCAACAGUGUUUUGUAGUUUUCCUUGUAGGGGUCUUUCACUUCCUUGGUUAGGUAUAUUCCUACGUAUUUUAUUUUUACAGCUAUUAUAAAAGGGUUUGAUUUGAUUCUCAGCCUGGUAGAUGUUGGUGUAUAGCACUGCUACUGAUUUGUGCACAUAGAUUUUGUAUCUUGAUAAAUGGAUUUAUUGUAUAUUUCUAAAUAGCAAUAAGAUUUGAAAUAUUCCCAACACAAAGAAAUGAUCAAUGUUUGAGGUGAUUAAUAUCCUAAAGACCCUGAUUUGAUCAUUACACAUUGCAUGCAUGUACCAGAAUCUCACAUGGACCCCAUAAAUGUGUACAAUUAUUCUCUAUCAAAAACGUUUUUAAGAAACAUGCAGGAAUACACUGUACCUCUUCCUUGCUGUCUCUGGAUAUUGUCACAGGAGGACUUGACAUGCGGAUUGUGGCAGCCUCUGUGACCAAGAGCAGAAGACAAUAGCAGCAUAGAAACCUCAAAUGAAAAACCUAACAUCUCAAGCUACUAAUUUAGCCAACCUUGGCAUCAGCUAUCUCUGGUCUUAGUACAUGAGGUGAUAAGCCCCCACUGUUCAAGUUGGGUGGCCAUCAAUUGCUGCAGAAUAGAAGUUAAUGAGGCUUCCUCCUCCUGGAUCCCCUACUAGACCCUGACAUACCCAUUCAGUCACAGGCAGAAAGGGAAGCAGAGGGUAAGGAGACCUGGCUGGCUGUGCCAGACGCAGAUCUUACCUGUCCUGCUUAGAACACUCAAAGCUCAAUUGGUUAACAAAAAAAGGAAAAACACAGUAAGGAGUAUAACACUCCCCAGAUGCAACUUAAUCUAACACUCUAUACUUUAAAUUUUCUGAACAUACAUAGAAAUCAGACCACUACUUCUGCAGAACAUUUUACUGGUAAAAAGAACAGCCCACAUGAGGGAAAACUGAUUUGGUGGAAAGACAACAGAAACAAAAUAUGGGAAAUAGGUAAGGUGAUAACAUGGGGGAGAGGUUUUUCUUGUGUUUCACCAGGAGAAAAUCAGCUUCCUGUUUGGAUACUCACUAGACAUUUGAAGUUCUACAAUGAACCCAUCAGAGAUGCAAAUGAAAGUGCCUCCGCAGAGACAGAAAACCCGUAAUCGAGCAUCAUCGACUCGCAGGGUGAACAAAAUGGUGAUAUCAGAAGAACAGAUGAAGUUACCAUCCACCAAGGAAACGGCACAUGUGGAGAGCCAGGGAGAGGAAGAGAAAGAAAAAGAGACAGAGAUCAGAGAGAGACACAGAAAGUGUAUCCAGCAGCUCAAGAGAGACAUCGACCAGCGAGAAGGGGCCAUGAUGAUGGUGGUGGUUUUGUGAAAACGAAAAGGGGGAUAUGUAGGGAAAAGAAAGAGAGAUCAGACUGUUACUGUGUCUACACAGAAAGGGAAGACAUAAGAGACUCCAUUUUGAAAAAGACCUGUACUUUAAACAAUUGCUUUGCUGAGAUGUUGUUAAUCUGUAGCUUUGCCCCGGCCACCUUGCCCCCAACCACUUUGACCCAACCUGGAGCUCACAAAAACAUGUGUUGUAUGAAAUCAAGGUUUAAGGGAUGUAGGGCUGUGCAGGAUGUGCCUUGUUAACAAAAUGUUUGCAAGCAGUAUACUUGGUAAAAGUCAUCGCCAUUCUCUAGUCUCAAUAAACCAGGGGUACAAUGCACUGUGGAAAGCCGCAGGGACCUCAGCCCUUGAAAGCUGGGUAUUGUCCAAGGUUUCUCCCCAUGUGAUAGUCUGAAAUAUGGCCUCGUGGGAUGAGAAAGACCUGACGGUCCCCCAGCCCGACAACCAUAAAGGGUCUGUGCUGAGGUGGAUUAGUCAAAGAGGAAAGCCUCUUGCAGUUGAGAUAGAGGAAAGCCACUGUCUCCUGCCUGUCUCUGGGAACUGAAUGUCUUGGUAUAAAACCCGAUUGUACAUUUGUUCAAUUCUGAGAUGGGAGAAAAACCGCCCUAUGGUGGGAGGCGAGACAUGUUUACAGCAAUGCUUCCUUGUUAUUCUUUACUCCACUGAGAUGUUUGGGUGGAGAGAAACAUAAAUCUGGCUUAUGUACACGUCCAGUCAUAGUACCUUCCCUUGAACUUCAUUAUGACAUAGAUUCUAUUGCUCACAUGUUUGUUGCUGACCUUCUCCUUAUUAUCACCCUGCCCUCCUACUACAUUCCUUUUUGCUGAAAUAAUGAAGAUAAUAAUCAAUAAAAACUGAGGGAACUCAGAGGCCGUUGCCAGUGCAGAUCCUUUGUAUGUUGAGCGCCGAUCCCCUGGGCCCACUGUUGUUUCUCUACACUUUGUCUCUG